CCUACGGGAGGCAACAGUAAGGAAUAUUGGACAAUGGACGCAAGUCUGAUCCAGCCAUGCCGCGUGAAGGAUUAAGGCCCUCUGGGUUGUAAACUUCUUUUAUAGGGGACGAAAAAAGGGCUUUCUAGCUCGACUGACGGUACCCUAUGAAUAAGCACCGGCUAACUCCGUGCCAGCAGCCGCGGUAAUACGGAGGGUGCAAGCGUUAUCCGGAUUCACUGGGUUUAAAGGGUGCGUAGGCGGGCAUUUAAGUCAGUGGUGAAAUCUUCGAGCUCAACUCGGAAACUGCCAUUGAUACUAUUUGUCUUGAAUAUUGUGGAGGUGAGCGGAAUAUGUCAUGUAGCGGUGAAAUGCUUAGAUAUGACAUAGAACACCGAUUGCGAAGGCAGCUCGCUACACAAAUAUUGACGCUGAGGCACGAAAGCGUGGGGAUCAAACAGGAUUAGAUACCCUGGUAGUCCACGCCCUAAACUAUGGAUACUCGACAUUUGCGAUACACAGUAAGUGUCUGAGCGAAAGCAUUAAGUAUCCCACCUGGGAAGUACGACCGCAAGUUGAAACUCAAAGAUAGUGACGUGAGAGAGCGACGACGACGACGACGGAGGGAGGAG
rnacentral:rRNA from 1 species